AUCUACUAAGUUAUGCUGGUAUAUUAAAAGUAGAGUUUUGUUAAACUAUAAAGUAACAUAAAUUUAAAAGAGUUUUUGAAAUGUUUUGAUCACUUAUAAAAGACAUAAGCAAUCUUUCGAAAGAAGUUGAUAACAAACAUUUACACAACUAUCAUUGUUUUCAACUUGUAUCCCCCCCCCCCUUAAAAGCAUUUAAAACAGUUAAAAGAUUCAUUAUAGGGGUAUGAGCUCACCUUAUGUGGGUGAGUCAAACGAAUAUGUGCGUAAGGAUGAGAAGUUCCACAAAUGAAGUCCCGAAACAAAAACGAGUCCUAACUGACAUAUAUGGAAAGUAUUUUCAUGAAUAUAGUGUUUAUAAGCAACCGACAUGCAAGGAUACAUCCUUAGGGACAUGUACUAAGUGUUGAAAUUACAUGUGAUUGAUCAAAGGGAUAUUUAAGGCCACCAAAUGGAGUUUACGACCAUGGGUUUACAGCCAUGAAUUUUACGUCCGUAAACUCAUGGUAAAAGGUGCAUAAGAGGGUGUUUGAAUGCUAGGGAAACUUGUGGGACCAUUGCUCUAUAAUACGAUGAGCAACACUAACUUAUUGUGAGGUGUUGAGGUGUUUAUGGCCACACCAAAAUUGUAUGGCUAUAAAAUCUCCAAAUGGUGUCGUUUUGGGUCCUAGAGGAAAGGGUUCUCAAUGGUUCAUGUGCUCCAAAGGAUAGAUAGUGUCUAGAAGUGUUUAGGGCUCAAUACUUGACCCAAAGGAUAGAUAGUGUCUAGAAGUGUUUAGGGCUCAAUACUUGACCCAAAGGAUAGAUAGUGUCUAGAAGUGUUUAGGGCUCAAUACUUGACCCAAACUAAGGUUUACGGCCAAGGGAGAUUGCUCAUGGUCGUAAACUCUCAUUGAUCUUGGAGAUUGGUUGAUUUCAAGGAUGUAAAUCAUGGACUUCUACUAGAUAAUAAGUGUAUGUAAGGAAUACUCACUUUUUGAGGGCCUUUAAGUAGUUUACAGCCACCAAAAGCUAGUGUGUGUUCUUGGUGUUCUUGGUGAAAGAUGAAGAUCUAGCCAAAAGAUGUUUUCAUGGAUGGAAUCAAAGGGUGAUUCAUGAGUAAGAAGGGUAAUAAAAAAUUAAAGGGAAGAAUCACUUACAUUUGGAUGAUCCGGAAUGAAAAUCUCGAUGAUACUUGAGUGAGAAGUCAAGUGUUUUUGAGUUGGAAAUGUAAGAAUGAAAGGAAGAUGAAGGCAAUGAGGCUUUAAGGGGAGUUUACAGCCAUCCUUGAGUUUACGGCCGUAAACUCAAGUGUCUUGGCUGUGAAAUCCUUUUUAGUGGUUUUAAGGCUCGGAUGUGGCACAAUGUCUCUAGCAGGUACUUCCUAUCACCCGUUAUCGCGUUAUAAUAUCAUAGAAUACUCCUAUAGUAUUCUAACUCUAUGUACUUGAUCUAGAAUUCUCUUGACUGGUGUUAGGUAAGUUUUAAGACCAUUGCCACACCACAUCACUCCCAAACACAUGUCUGUCACAUCUCGAAUGAAUAUAGUUGAUCAGACUAUAUUGAUCCUAGCUAUGAUUACAUAACUGUCAAGGUUUGACCACAAUGUUCAACCUUUAACUUCUUCUGUUUUGUUCUUCUAGGGAUACUUGUUCUAGUAUGAAUACAUGUAUAAGCAAGUAGGUAUAUUUUUAUAACUUAUUGUUAUGUUCUUAAAAUAUAUUAUUAUAUAGAGCACUAAAGUACCAUUUUAUUUAUAGUUGUAUAUCUUUUAUCGGUUGAUAUACUUAGUUCACUAUAAACAAUGCUCUGAUACCAAUCUAUCACACCCCAAAACCGGAACGACGGAAACGAUCUGGGGUGGAGGGCGUCAUGUUUAGUAUCACAAGACAUGCAUCAUAGUAAUAAAAGUAAUAAACAACCAUUUCAUUAAAAAGAAAGUGUUUACAAAGUAUGUGUUCACAAAACAUAGAAUACAUAUGCAAAUAGCAAAAUAAGACAUGAAGCUAUACUGCUCCAUCUUCUGAAUUCCCAACGCGAGUACCUGUCCACUAGAUCCCUGAGAAUACAAGUUAUUUUGAAAGAGUUGAUCAGCAUUUAAGCUGGUGAGUUCAUAAGAUUUUAGUGAUGUAAGUAAGUGUAAGAAAGNGAAAGAUGUAGUAAGUUGUAAGUUUUGUUUAGAAAAGUUCGCCUGUUCCUCCAAAAAAAUCCUAUAUUUCCUGCUUUGACGAAAGAUAAGUAAAAAUGACUCUACAAUCCUUUUAUGAGUACAAAGUAGAUACGAGUUGUAUAAACACCCAUAGUAAACAAACAAUCGGUUGUGUGUAUCUGCCCUAAGCCCACAACCAAUGAAGGACCGGGAAAUGAGACGGAAAGCACACAUCUCAUUUUUUGUUAGAUCAUUGUUGUAUAUAUAACCCUAGCAUAUUCACUUGGAACUCACGGAGUUAACUAUAAUAGUUCAUUUAUAUUUGAUGAAAAGAUUCUUUAAGAAAACCCUUAUUUCUUAUAAAAAAAAAUAGUAACCACAGUUGUUCUUUCUAUAAUCACUUAGUUUAUACUAGCUAUAUAUAAUCUAAUAUCGAACAGAUAGUUAAUUGUGUGGAUCUGCCCUAAGCCAACAACCAACCAAGGACCAGGAAAUGAAGCGAAAAGCACACAUGCAACUACCUAUUGGGUAUUAAUUAUAUAUAACCAUGAUGUAUAAACUAAGGUAUUAUUGAAUUAACCACCUAAGGUCCCUUAAGUUAUUAUGGUUUAAUAAAAUGGAUUAAACCCUUUACUGGUAAGUUUCUAGUGUUGUAUAUCAAAAGUUCUAUUUAAAAAGUAUGUUUUGUACUAGAAAACUCUUCAUUGAAUUAGUAUUCUAUGACCUGGCCCAUACCUGGUACCCCUUAUGAUUACUUAGUGUAUACAGAACAUAUAUAUAUAUAUAUAAACUAUGAUACGUAUAGUUUAGGGAACACUUACACUAUUUUACUGAGUUAGGGAUACAAUACAUAAACUAGUUAAUAUAGGGUUGUGAGCCACUACUUCACUAUACCUUCUAGAGUAUGCGUUGAAGCCCUGAAUUAUUGNAUAUAUAUAUAUCCCUGAAUGCAUACACUAAGGAAUCUAAAGUUAGCGUUAUAGGCCCCCUUUCUAUUGAAUGUACUAGACUCGACUGUUAUGUUUGUCGUUUGUAAAAUGUAAGUUUUCCCUUGUUUAUAACUAUCCUAACUCGAAAAUAGUUUGUAUUAACUUUAAAGUGUAGCUGUCACAAUAUGAAAAUAAGUACAGAGUUGUCUUUUAAAAUGACAUCCUGACGUACUGAUUUCCUUAAAACAUGUUUGUUUUAUUAAGGUCAUAAUGUGAAGCCUAGUACACAUACUAUACGCUCUCCUUAUCAAAAGAUUUGGGAACCAAACGCGACUACAACAAAUAAUUGCUAGGCCGUGUAAAUUCACAUUAAGGUUAUGCAAUCCUGUAUACCCAAUUUAACUAUCACCUUUUUUUUAGAACAAUGAGUUAAUGAUUUAUUGGUAUAGUUAGAUCCUGUAAUUGUUUUCAUGCUAUUGCAUCUUAGUAUGUUCCUUCUGUUAUAGUAUCUCAGUAUGUUCCUCCUGUUAUAGUAUCUAGGUAUGAACUGAACCCCUAAACUAUACCCCUUAUAGUUUACAAGUAUUUUACCUUGAACUGUUAUUGAAAAGACUCAUUUAUCUACUAAGUUAUGCUGGUAUUUUAUAAGCAGAGUUUUGUUAAAAUAUAAAGUAACAUAACUUUAAAAGAGUUUUUGAAAUGUUUUGAUCACUUAUAAAAGACAUAAGCAAUCUUUUGAAAGAUGUUGAUAACAAACAUUUACACAACUAUCAUAUCAUUGUGUUCAACUUGUAUCCCCCUCCCCUUAAAAGCAUUUAGAACAGUUAAAAGAUUCAUUAUAGGGGUAUGAGCUCACCUUAUGUGGGUGAGUCCAACGAAUAUGCGUGUAAGGAUGAGAAGUUCCACAAAUGAAGUCCCGAAACACAAACGAGUCCAAAAUGACAUAUAGGGAAAGUAUCUGCAUGAAUAUAGUGUUUAUAAGCAACCAACAUGCAAGGAAACACCCUUAGGGACUUGUAGUAAGUGUUGAAAUCACAUGUGAUUGAUCAAAGGGAUGUUUAACGCCACCAAAUGGAGUUUAUGACCAUGGGUUUAUGUCCAUGAAUUUUAUGGUCGUAAACUCAUGGUAAAAGGUGCAUAAGAGAGUGUUUGAAUGCUAGGGAAACUUGUGGGACCAUUGCUCUACAAUACGAUGAGCAACACUAACUUAUUGGGAGGUGUUGAGGUGUUUACGGCCACACCAAAAGUGUAUGGCCGUAAAAUCUCCAAAUGGUGUCAUUUUUGAUCCUAAAGGAAAGGGUUCUCAAUGGUUCAUGUGUUCCAAAGGAUAGCUAGUCUCUAAAAGUGUUUAGGGCUCAAUACUUGACCAAGACUAAGGUUUACGGCCAAGGGAGAUUGCUCCUGGCCGUAAACUCUCGUUGAUCUUGGAGAUUGGUUGAUUUCAAGGAUGUAAAUCAUGGACUUCUACUAGAUAAUAAGUGUAUGGAUGGAAUACUCACUUUUUGAGGGCCUUUGAGUAGUUUACGACCACCAAGAACGAGGGUGUGUUCUUGGUGGAAGAUGAAGAUAUAGCCGAAAGAUGUUUUCAUGGAUGGAAUCAAAGGGUGAUUCACGAGUAAGAAGGGUAAUAAACAAAUAGAGGGAAGAAUCACUUACAUUUGGAAGAUCGGGAAUGAAAAUCUCGAUGAUACUUGAGAAAAAGUCAAGUGUUCUUGAGUUGGAAAUGUAAGAAUGAAUGGAAAAUGAAGGUAAUGAGGCUUUAAGGGGGAUUUUACGGCCAACCUUGAUUUUACGGCCGUAAACUCAAGUGUCUUGGCCGUGAACUCCUCUUUGGUGGUUUUAAGGCUCGAAUGUUGCACAAUGUCUCUAGCAGGUACUUCCUACCACUCGUUUCUUAAGUGUACCAGGAUUAAAACCCAUUAAGAUGACCCUUAACAAGGUUAGAAGAUAAUAAAUUUUUGGGUUGUCACAUCAUCCCCCCGUUAGAUGGAAUUUUGUCCCAAAAUUAGCUUUCUUCGUAGCACUACAAGGGUUGUGCUCCUCUUAUUGGCAGAAUACUCACUCGUAGACCUAACAACUCUGCCCAAUUUUCCAUCAUAGGAUUUAUACUUGGUUCAUCUAUCAAUACCUCAUGUAUACAAGUCAUAUAUAGUUAGGACUAGUAAGACAUCAGAUGUGAGAUUCUGCCCUAGGUCCACAACCAAACAAGGAACAGGAGGUAGGGCGGUAGCACACAUACUAAAUCUGUGUAAUCAUAAUCAUAUACCAUCGUCGUUAUUACACUGAAUAGUGAUAGGUGGGUUGUAUUUGUCCUUAUCCUCUGUGCUCGAACUUGAUCUGUUGGACGAGUGGUAUUUCGUGGUAGUCUGCUGAAUAUACGGCGACAAGGUUUCGGAGGGCAAAGUACUAUUCGCAUGAGUACUUCGGGGUUUAGAAUACGAAAGAAAAAACUGAGGUUUAGGUCGGACUGUCGAUACGAAUGACAAAGUUUUUGUGAAUUUGAAUGUCAAAGCGAUAGAAAUAUAUGAACUUAGUAUAAUGAGGACUGUGCCAACUCAUGAUGAAUGAUAGAAACAGACUCUUUACUGAACAAAAGUUUGGCUGAUUUGAACGAAACGUCUGUUAUACGAUGAUGUACUCCUAGUGUGUUCGACAAUGUUCUCUUUGUAACUGUUCUAGUGCUUUCUGUUUUCCACUUAAUGUUAACACUUCUACAUAUCAUGCCGCGAUGAGCGAGUACAUACAAUGAAAGUGCUUUGAUAACUAGUGUCGAUACAUUAUAGUACGAUCCUCCUUGGUACCACUAUGAUCGCUUGUCAUAUACAAGUUAUGAAAAAUUAUGAUGGAUAAGACCGUUGACUGAGUAAAUCUGCCCCAAAUCCAUAACAAAACAAGGAACAUGAAUUAAGUCGGAAUCACUCACUCUAAGUCUGCAAAAUCUUAGCUAUGCACAACUCUGAUGUAGAUACUAAGCCAUCAUAGCUUUUCUGAACGGAUCUUUUAGUUUUCUUGAGUAUUGUGACUUAUUCCGAUAAGUGAGUUAUUAUAAUUACUUUUAAGUGUUUUCCCCCAUGUUUUAAUCUUAUAUAAAUAUAAAUUAAUUUUUAAAGUAAUUACUAUUUCGAAAACGUACCAACUUCAGUAGCGGGGUUCCUUGUUGCUCACUUAUGUCUUAUCGUUAGAUUCCUCCAUUUCCUACGUUACGUCCCUCUGUUAGGCAGUCUCUCUUGCCAUGCCCCGUUUCACCAUAAGCAUGGUAUACCUAUACUAUCCUAACAUUGGUGGUUGAAGUGAUGUGCCGAGUCGGAGCUUCACAGAAACGGACUCCUUCGUCUUUCCUCUUUGUUGGACAAUCCCUCUUAAAGUGUCUAGAUUUUCUGUACUUGUAACAAGCCUCGUUUUCUUGGGGAGUUGGUCGUGCCAGCUUCAGGCAGAAAUUGGAAAGGUGCCCUUUCACGUUGCAAUUGGUACACUUCAUCACUCGGCAAGCUCCGUGGUGGUGGUAACUGCAUUUUUCGCAUCUUGGGAGACUCCCAACAUAUUGUUUAACAGAGGUUGUAGUGGCAGAUGAAGUGCCAGAUGUUAUGACUGUUGUUGUGACUACAACGGUAGUCACAGGCUGUCGCCCCUGGGUAAAACCUUUAGUCGACUUAUUCUUUUGUUUGUCCCAAUAUUUUCGCUUCUUGUUCGUAGGCUCAUUGUCUGGGGUGUCCUUGACAGCAGCCACUCGUGGGUUCCCUUGAUUACUAUUGUGAUUAGAGAACUGGCACUACUUCCGCUUACGCUAGCGUUAUUUUUAUUGAACUGUGCCAAAACGGCUGUCACAGCAGCUGUGACCGCAGCCUGAAAAGUAGCAGAGUCUAUUUGCAGUAUUGGUGCUUCACCUGGUGGUCGGUUCCCUCGUUGUGAAGUUAUGAAUCUGUCGCAUGGCAAAGGAUGAUCUCAUGAGUCUAAAGCAGUGGAUUUAAGCCAAAAGCUGAAAGACAAUGUCAUCCAAGUUCUGAGUGUAUCGGGUUCUGGCUUCCACAGGUUUCUGGAAACAAUUCAUAAAAGAGUCUAUACUAAAUAAACUUUAUGAAUUUGGAAUGUUUAUCCUCGAAUGAAUUUUUGUUACCUGAAGAACUAUUACCAGUUGCAUGUAAAGAAAAUAAUCCCAACACAUAGGGUGAGCAGUGUUUCCACUAACUCAUUAAGUUAACCAAGAUUAUUAUAUGUUAGUGUGACGUAUUAAGGCGUUUUGGUUACUUUGGUUGAUCCUUCUUUGCAAGCUUCUCAUGAACUUGCUCUUGUUCUUCCUUGACUCAUCUGUAGACUGCUUUGAGGAAGUGGUUACAUCUAUCUGGGUUUGUCGUGCGAGAAUGGAAGUGACUAGAGAAUCUACGAGAUUUAAGUGAAACGUUAUGGGGUGAUCCUUACAGAGUCCUCCUAUAAUUGUACAAUGUAUACAAGUUGUAUAUAAUUUAAUAUUAAAUAGACCUUCGAAUAAAUGAUCCUACUCCAAAACCACAACCAAACAAGGAACAGGCAAUGAAGUGUAGAUUACAAAUUCAAAUCUAUAAAAUCUCAAUUAUAUAUAACCUUAGGAGUAUACAUUGCAAGAUUAUAGACCUAUCCGUAACGGUCUUUUAAGUUAUCACAUAAUUAUUUAUAUAGUGCCUAAAAUACUCCUACAAUACUUUAAUGUAAGGUUGGUAUGUUUUAAACUUGUUAUCGCGUUAUAGUAUCAUAGAAUACUCCUAUAGUAUUCUAAAUCUAUGUGCUUGAUCUAGAAUUCUCUUGAUUGGUGUUAGGUAUGUUUUAAGACCGUUGCAACACCACAUCGCUCCCAAACACAUGUCUGUCACAUCUCGAAUGAAUAUAGAUGAUCAGACAAUAUUGAUCCUAGCUACGAUUACAUAACUGUCAAGGUUUGACCACAGUGUUCAGCCUUUAACUUCUUCUGUUCUAUUCUUCUUGGGAUACUUGUUCUAGUAUGUAUACAUGUAUAAGCAAGUAGAUAUAUUUUUAUCACUUAUUGUUAUAUUCUUAAAAUAUAUUAUUAUCCUAAGCACUAAAGCCCCAUUGUAUUUAUAGUUGUAUGUCUUUUAACGGUUGAUAUACUUAGUUCACUAUAAACAAUGCUCUGAUACCAAUCUAUGACACCCCAAAACUGGAACGACGGAAACGAUUUGGGGGUAGAGGACGUCAUGUUUAGUAACACAAGACAUGCAUCAUAGUAAUCAAAGUAAUAAACAACCAUUUCAUUAAAAAGAAAGUGUUUCCAAAGUAUGUGUUCACAAAACAUAGAAUAUAUAUGCAAAUAGCAAAAUAAGACAUGAAGCUAUACUGCUCCAUCUUCUGAAUUCCCAGCGCGAGUACCUGUCCACUAGAUUCCUGAGUUUGAAAGACUUGAUCAACAUUGAAGCUGGUGAUUUCAUAAGAUUUUAGUGAUGUAAGUAAGUUGUAAGAAAGAUGAAGUAAGUUGUAAGUUCUGUUUAGAAAAGUUCGCAUGUUCAUCCAGAAAAUCCUAUAUUUCCUGCUUUGAUGAAAGAUAAGUGAAAAUGACUCUACAAUCCUUUUAUGAGUACUAAGUGGAUACGAGUUAUAUAAAAACCCAGAGUAAACAAACAAUCGGUUGUGUGUAUCUGCCCCAAGCCCACAACCAAACAAGGACCAGGAAAUGAGACGGAAAGCACACAUCCCAUUGUUUGUUAGAUCAUUGUUGUAUAUAUAACCCUGGCGUAUUCACUUGGUACUCAUAGAGUUAACUAUAGUAGUUCGUUUAUAUUUGAUGAAAAGAUUCUUUAAGAAAACCCUUAUUUCUUAUAAAAAAAUAGUAACCACAGUGGUUCCUUCUAUAAUCACUUAGUUUAUACUAGCUAUAUAUAAUCUAGUAUCGAACAAAUAGUUAAUUGUGUGGAUCUGCCCUAAGCCCACAACCAAACAAGGAACACGAAAUGAAGCGGAAAGCACACAUCCAACUACCUAUUGGGUAUUAAGUAUAUAUAACCACGAUGUAUAAACUAAGGUAUUACAGAAUUAACCACCUAAGGUCCUUUAAGUUAUUCUAGUUUAAUAAAAUGGAUUAAACCCUUUACUGGUAAGUUUCUAGUGUUGUAUAUCAAAAGUUCUAUUUGAAAAGUUUGUUUUGUACUAGAAAACUCUUCAUUGAAUUUGUAAAAGCCCGAAAUUCAGGUUCGACCAUUUAGCCCUUCAUCUUUUCAUAAAAUGUCAUGUUGGCUCUUUUGUGUUGGUCGAGUACGUUGGGCGUACAAAGAGUACGUUGCACGUACUCGCGCGAUUAAUUUGAACGCGUUGUCACCCGCGUACGCUGGGCGUACCAAAGGUUACGCCGGGCGUAACCGGUCCAGACCCAAAACCAUAAUAUGGCUUGAUGGCUAUAAAAGGAAUGAGAUGGCCUUGUCCCUCAGCCACCAUCCUUCAGAAAGAAACCCUAAGGGAGCUUUUCCUUCGUUUUUAUCUGGAGUGUGAGUGUUCUAAGCCUCAAGGUGUCAUUUCAAGGUAGCAAAAGAGAAGAGGAGUCCAUUGUGGAGGCUAGAAGUUGGUGGACAAGUGUAAAUCCGAGGAUAACAAAGGUUGGAGCUUCUUCCUGAGGUAAAAAGUUCGGAUCUUGCCAUGUAGUUCUUAUGGUGUGCUUGUUGGAACAAUUUCUAGGGUUUUGGUCCCAAAGAUGGAGACUUUAUGAGCAAGUAGUCUCCAUUGGCCUAGAUCUAUCAUAUUCCAGGACUAUUUGAGUUGUAUGUUCAUAAAAAUGUAAUCUUGGACGUAAAUGUUGAGCCAUGCAUGAGAUCAAGAUCUUUGGAGGAGAAAAGAAAGUUGUUAGAGGGUGUAGCAGCCUUAAUAGCCAUACCAAGGCUUAAAGGUUCUGACUUUAUCCGAUAAGAGGCUUAAGGAGAGCUAGAUCUGGAAGUUGAAGGAGUGUCUUAACCAUUUAAGACCAAAACUCAUGGUAUGGCUGAAACUGGGACUUACGUUGGGCGUAACUCUCAGUACGCGCAGCGUAAGGGGUUGAGACCCCCGAUUGUAGCUCAUCGACGUACGCCCUACGUAGAGAAGCUGGUACGCCCUGCAUACUGUUGUCUGUUGACUUUUGUUGACUUUUAGGGUGUUGUUCAACAUGUGGACUUUGAGUCAAGGAGGGGUGAAAUGGUCUUUUACCCCUCUGUGGGAUAAUGAAAAGGGUGUAGCCUAGCCUUGGAAGCCUAUAUUAAUUAGAAUGAUAUUUCAUUGUGAUUAGGCGGGGUUGGGUCGUCAUUUUGAGAUUUGGAGAUAUCGAGCACGUGAGAUUCUAGACUUCCUACGAGGUGAGUCUUCUGACUAUACUGUACCCGAAAGGGUAUUUAUGUGUGACCGGAAGGUCGGAUAUGUUAUGAGUUGUAUGCAUUGUAUAUGAUUACGCUAACCGUUUAUAUGUGCUAUGUAUGCCAUGCUUGAUAUGGGCCGGAAGGCAUUAUGUUAUGGGCUGGAAGGCAUUUUAUGUUAUGGGUCGGAAGGCAUUGUGAUGUGGACCGGAAGGUCGAUGCGGGUAGGACCGGAAGGUUUACCGGGUCCGGACGGAAGUCCCCUGAGACACAUGGACCGGAAGGUCAUGGCCUGGAAAGGUGUAUGCGUGUAAGUAGUAUUUUGGGGAAUUCACAAAGCAUUUAUGCUUACAGUUGUUGUGUUAUGUGUUUCAGGUACUAGCGAGGACCGUGGGAAGGCGUCGGCGUGAUCUGUACACACUGAUGGAAGCUUUAUGUUGUGAUCUUGGGAUUUGACAUAUUUAUAUUAUGAUUAUGUGACAUUGGAUUUUAUGGUCUGUUUGGAUGAUAACAUGUUUUAGGAAAUAUUUGUUUGAAAUUUUACGUUGUUACAAGUUGUUAUCAGAGCCUUGGUUUGAGGGAUUCGGGUGCGCAUAAAAUUUUAUAAGAUAUUUUGUGAUAACCAAGGAUGAAGCAGUGUGUACGGUCAGCCAGCGCCCGAACGGUAAAAUCCCCAAAAUACCCUUACAAUAUAUGCUAUGAUAUGUUAUGCAUGAUAGAGUAGACUAGGUAUUGAUAUUAGGACUAGAGUGGCCUGAUUUGUGAUGCCUUAGUCUAGGGGAAUCGUGCAGCUAUGAGAUGGUUUGAGAGCAAGUAGGUAGCCUAUGCAUAGCAAGAAUAGAGUACUCGCGUUCCGGGGUCCAAGGAGGAGGACUUGGGGUGAAUGCUGAUGCGGUGUAAUCAGUAGUAUAGGGCCCGCACUACUGAAGACACCGGAUCAGUGGGCAACCCAAGUAAGAAUCUUUUGGGUAUCGGAGGCCGAGUAGGGUUGCGUUAUCGAGUGUGAGUAUGCUCGAUCGAGUCUAUGAUAUUUUUAUGUUGUAUUUCAGAGGCAUUAUGGUUGGGACACGCCACAGGCCUGGGACGAGCGGUGUGAGAGACGAGGAGCUUCGUCAUAUGAUCCACGAUGAGGUGGCUGCAGCAAUCCGGGCCGAGAUUCCGGAGAUGUUUGGGUCUAUCAAGACUACGCUUUUGGAGACUUUUCAUGAGCGGUAUGCCGCGGUGACUGAGGCCGCAGCUGCUGCAGCUACAGCAGCUGUGGUUGCUGCCAGACCUCAGGGAGGUGACUCGUUGUUGUUCCGGGAGUUCAACAACACGAAGCCAUCCAAGUUAGAUGGGACGCAGGACCCGAUCGCUGCGAUGAGAUGGAUUGCUGAUAUUGAGGGAUGCUUCUAUACGUGUUCAUGUCCGAAGCAUCUAAGGGUACGGUUCGCUUUGAACCAGCUCCGCCAAGGAGCGAAGGAUUGGUGGAAGUUCGUGACGGCGAACUUCACUCUUGCAGAGAUUUCAGCAGUGACUUGGGAGAGAUUCACCACCAUGUUUAGAGAUGAGUAUGUUCCCCCGGUGGAGAGGGAAUGGCUGAUUCAGAGUUCUUGANCUGAUUCAGGAGUUCUUGACCCUCAAGCAGGGUAAUGAUUCAGUUGCUGUGGUCACCCGGAAGUUUCAUGAGAGGGCGAUGUUCUACCCUGAGCAGGUGUCUUCUGAGCAGGCACGGAUGAGCCGAUAUUUGGGUAUUCUGAGGAGGGACAUUCGGGAGUUCGUAUCGAACUCGACGUACCGGAAAUUUGCUGAGCUCCAGGAAAAUGCCCAGAAGAGGGAGAUUGAGUUGGAGACUCAGGCCAGGGAGGAGGCCGUGUCCCAGAGGAUGGAUAGGCGGCCGGCUCAGUCUCAACCGGUAGCCAAGCGGACCAAGUCCGCCGAUUCGAGGAUGGGAGGCCAGAAGGGCCGCACUUGCGGAAAGUGCGGCAAGGGUCAUGAGGGGCCUGCUGAUCAGGUGCUUGCUACAAUUGUGGCAAGGAGGGGCAUAUCGCUAGGGAUUGCCCCAAUGGGUUUACGGUUUGCUUCCAUUGCAACCAGACCGACCAUCGGAAGGGCGAGUGUCCUCAGCUUCACCUGGGAUCAGCACAGGGAUCUGCGCCUGCUGCUAGGGUUACCGAGACUCGACAGGUGAAGACCGAGGCUCAGAGGGCUCGUGGGAGAGCUUUUCCGUUGACUGCGAAGUAGGUCCGUGCGACACCCGAUGUUGUGGCUGGUAUGUACUCUUUCGUGUAUUUACUUUUAUGCUGAGAUAUUAUGCUUAUAUUAUGAUAUGCGUAGGUACUUUUCUUGUGAACUCUGUACCUGCCUUGGUAUUAUUUGACUCGGGUGCGAGUCGGUCUUUUAUAUCUCUGGCUUUUAGUCAGCACAUCUGUAUUGAUCGGGAGGUGAUGAGUCGACCCCUGAGGGUUUCCAUAGCUGAUGAGAAAGCGGUAUAUGCCACCGACGUGAUUCGAGGAUGUGUGCUUGAGAUUUUGCUGUCAAUUUCCCUAUAGAUCUAGUUCCUAUCGCGAUGGGAGAUGUCUGUGUCAUCAUGGGCAGGGACUGGUUGAGUAAGUUUGGAGCGGUCAUUGACUGCGAGAAACAGAUGGUGACCAUACGAGACCCUAAUGGGGGAGUGCUUACUGUAUAUGGCGAUGGGACCCGGUGUGGGUCAGCGUUUUGUUCGGCUGCCAGGGCGAGACAGAUUUUGCAACAGGGCUGUAGUGGAUUCAUAGCCUAUGUGAUGGACACACGAGUGGCCGCGGGGAGGCCAAGUUCGGUUGAUGAGGUUCCGGUAGUGUGCGAGUUCCCGGAUGUUUUUCCCGAGGAACUGUCAGGCGUGCCUCUGGAAAGACAAGUGGAGUUCCGUAUUGAUUUGAUUCCGGGAGCAGCACCUAUCGCCAAGGCGCCUUAUCACCUCGCGCCGCCAGAGAUGCAGGAGUUAUCCUGGUAGCUUCAGGAGCUGUUGGGGAAGGGGUUUAUUCGACUGAGUAGCUCACCUUGGGGAGCACCGAUCCUUUUUGUCAAGAAGAAAGAUGGUUCACACCGGAUGUGUAUUGAUUACCGAGAGUUGAACAAGUUGACCGUCAAGAACCGGUAUCCGUUACCUAGGAUCGAUGAUCUGUUUGAUCAGUUGCAGGGGGCAUCUUGGUUCUCCAAGAUAGACUUAAGGUCGGGUUAUCAUCAGAUGAGGCUUCGGGAUGAAGAUAUCUACAAGACUGCAUUCAGAACUCGUUACGGACAUUACGAGUUUGUGGUGAUGCCUUUUGGGUUCACCAAUGCCCCAGCCGCGUUCAUGGAUCUCAUGCACAGGGUGUGCAAGCCGAUGUUGGAUCGGUCGGUGAUCGUAUUCAUUGAUGAUAUUUUGGGAUAUUCGAGGUCUAGAGAGCAGCAUGAGGAGCAUUUGAGGGAGAUCCUUGGAGUUCUGAGAUCGGAGAGGCUGUAUGCUAAAUUCUCCAAGUGUGAUUUCUGGUUACGAGAGGUCCAAUUCCUUGGGCACCUUGUUAACCAGAAAGGGAUAUUGGUCGAUCUGGCCAAGAUUGAGGCAGUGAUGAGAUGGGAGGUGCCGAGAUCACCCACUGAGAUCAGGAGCUUUCUGGGAUUGGCCGGUUAUUAUCGGAGGUGUAUUAGGGAUUUCUCCAAUAUUGUCGUGCCACUUACCAAGAUGACCUAGAAGGGUGUUGCAUUUUCAUGGGGUCCGGAGCAGCAAUCCUCAUUUGAGACACUUCGCCAAAAGUUAUGCGAAGCCCCGGUAUUCGCACUCCCAGAAGGGAUGGAGGAUUUUGUGGUAUAUUGUGAUGCAUCAAUAUCUGGGUUAGGGGCAGUGCUUAUGCAGAGGGGGCACGUUAUAGUGUAUGCAUUGAGGCAACUGAAGCCUCAUGAGUCGAGAUAUCCCACCCACGAUCUGGAGCUGGGGGCUGUGGUGUUUAUCCUCAAGAUCUGGCGGCACUAUCUCUAUGGGUUCGGUGUACCAUAUACACAGACCACAAGAGUCUGGAGUAUUUGAUGGAUCACCCAAACCUAAAUAUGCACCAGAGGAGAUGGUUGGAUGUGGUGAAGGAUUAUGAUUGUGAGAUCCUGUACCACCCGGGCAAGGCUAAUGUCGUAGCCGAUGCUUUGAGCCAUAGAGCGUAGAGCGCCCUGAUCCGAGAUGUUUGUAUGAGGUUGAAGGUGAUGACUCCGGUAUUGGACACCAUCCGAGGGGCCCAGGCCGAGGCUGCGAGACCAGAAAACCGCAAGAGAGAGUGGGUUGUUAGCCAGGUAUCGGAGUUCGUUACCGAUAGUCGGGGACUUAUGACAUUUCAGGGUCAGAUUUGAGUACCGUUUAUGGGCAGGACGCGUUCCAUUUUGAUGGAAGAGGCACAUCCGUUGAAGUUCUCGAUCCAUCCCGGGGCCACUAAGAUGUUUUUAGACCUAAAGAAGGAGUAUUGGUGGCCCUGUAUGAAGAGGGAUGUUGCAUGGUUCGUCGAGAGGUGCCUAACUUGUCGCCAGGUUAAGGCCGAGCACCAGCGUCCGCAUGGUAAGCUGCAGCCGCUGGAGAUUCCCGAGUGGAAGUGGGAACAGAUUACCAUGGAGUUUAUCACCAAAUUGCCAAGGACUACGAGAGGAGUUGAUGCAAUUUGGGUGAUUGUGGAUAGGUUGACGAAGAGCGCUCAUUUUCUUGCUAUCAGUGAGAGCUCUUCUGCUGAGAGGUUGGCAGAGUUGUAUGUGAGGGAGGUGGUAUCGCGACAUGGAGUUCCGAUCUCGAUUGUUUCAGAUCGAGACGUACGAUUUACUUCCAGAUUUUGGAAGAAGUUUCACGAGGAGUUGGGUAAGAGGCUGUAUUUCAGUACCGCAUACCACCCACAGACGGACGGACAGAGUGAGCGGACGAUUCAGACGCUCGAGGAUAUGCUCCGAGCGUGUGUUUUGGAUUUUGGAGGGAGUUGGGACACCUAUUUACCCUUGGCGGAGUUUUCGUACAACAACAGCCAUCAUUCGAGCAUCGGUAUGCCACCCUUUGAGCUGUUGUAUGGGAGGAGGUGUCGGACCCCCAUCUACUUGGGUGAGGUGGGGCAGUGGGUAAUGGGUAGUAUGGAGAUUGUGCUUCAGACGACAAAGAAGAUUCAGCAGGUGAGGCAGAGAUUGUUGACCGCUCAGAGUGCCAGAAGAGUUAUGUGGACAUGCGUCGGUCCGAGCUCGAGUUUCAGGUUGGUGACCUUAUACUAUUAAAGGUCUCAUCUUGGAAAGGAGUGAUUCGAUUUAGGAAGAGGGCAAGUUGGGGCCUCGAUAUAUUGGACCUUUUAGGGUAACCGCGAGGGUAGGCAGGGUAGCCUACCGUUUAGAUCUACCUGCGGAGCUGGGUCAGAUUCACGACACCUUUCAUGUGUCGCAGUUGAGGAAGUGUAUUACCGACGAGUCAGCAGUGGUACCAUUAGAGGAUAUUCAGGUGGCUGCGGGCUUGAACUAUGUUCAGAGACCGGUGGAAAUUAUGGAUCGAAAGGUUAAGUUUCUGAGGAACAAGGACGUGCCCUUGGUGCAAGUGCAGUGGCAGCAUCGGAAGGGGUCCGAGCUGACGUGGGAGUCCGAGUCGGAGAUGCGGGAGCAGCAUCCGGAAUUGUUUUCGGUAUAAGACUUCUGGGACGAAGUCUGGUUCUAGUGGGGGAGAAUUGUAACAGCCCAAAAUUCAGGUUCGACCAUUUAGCCCUUCAUCUUUUCAUAAAAUGUCAUCUUGGCCCUUUUGUGUUGGGCGAGUACGCUGGGCGUACAAAGAGUGCGUUGCGCGUACUCGCGCGCUUAAUUUGAACGCGUUGUCACCCGGGUACGCUGGGCGUACCUAAGGUUACGCCGUAUCCAGACCCAGAACCAUAAUAUGGCUUGAUGGCUACAAAAGGAAUGAGAUGGCCUUGUCCCUCAGCCACCAUCCUCUAGAAAGAAACCCUAAGAGAGCUUUUCCUUCGUUUUUAGCUUGAGUGAGAGUGUUCUAAGCCUCAAGGUGUCAUUUCAAGGUAACAAAAGAGAAGAGGAGUCCAUUGUGGAGGCUAGAAGUUGGUGGACAAGUGUAGAUCCGAGGAUAACAAAGGUUGGAGCUUCUUCCUGAGGUAAAAAGUUCGGAUCUUGCCUUGUAGUUCUUAUGGUGUGCUUUUUGGACCAAUUUCUAGGGUUUUGGUCCCAAAGAUGGAGACUUUAUGAGCAAGUAGUCUCCAUUGGCCUAGAUCUAUCAUAUUCCAAGACUAUUUGAGUUGUAUGUUCAUAAAAAUGUAAUCUUGGGCAUAAAUGUUGUGCCAUUCAUGAGAUCUAAAUCUUUGGAGGAGAAAAGAAAGUUGUUAGAGGGUGUAGGAGCCUUAACAGCCAUGCCAAGGCUUAAAGGUUCUGACUUUUUGGGAUAAGAGGCUUAAAGCGAGCCAGAUCUGGAAGUUGAAGGAGUGUCUUAACCGUUUAAGACCAAAACUCAUGGUAUGGCUGAAACUGGGACAUACGUUGGGCGUAACUCUCAGUACGCGCAGCGUAAGGGGUUGAGACCCCCAAUUGUAGCUCAUCGACAUACGCCCCGCGUACUGUUGUCUGUUGACUUUUGUUGACUUUUACGGUUUUGGACAACAUGUGGACUUUGAGUCAAGGAGGGGUGAAAUGGUCUUUUACCCCUCUGUGGGAUAAUGAAAAGGGUGUAGCCUAGCCUUGGAAGCCUAUAUUAAUUAGAAUGAUAUUUCAUUGUGAUUAGGCAGGGUUGGGUCGUCGUUUCGAGAUUUGGAGAUAUCAAGCAUGUGAGAUUCUAGAGUUCCUACGAGGUGAGUCUUCUCACUAUACUGUACCCGGAAGGGUAUUUUUGUGUGACCGGAAAAUCGGAUAUGUUAUGAGUUGUAUGCGUUGUAUAUGAUUAAGUUAACCAUUUGUAUGUGCUAUGUAUGCCAUGCUUGAUAUGGGCCGGAAGGCAUUAUGUUAUGGGCCGGAAGGCAUUUUAUGUUAUGGGCCAGAAGGCAUUGUGAUGUGGUCUGGAAGGUCGAUGCGGGUAGGACCGGAAGGUUUACCGGGUCGGGACAGAAGUCCCCUGAGACACAUGGACCGGAAGGUCAUGGCCUGGAAAGGCGUAUGUGUGUAAGUAGUAUUUUGGGGAAUUCACUAAGCAUUUAUGCUUACAUUUGUUGUGUUAUGUGUUUCAGGUACUAGCGAGGACCAUGGGAAGGCGUCGGCGUGAUCUGUACACACUGAUGGAAGAUUUAUGUUGUGAUCUUGGGAUUUGACAUAUUUAUAUUAUGAUUAUGAUACAUUGGAUUUUAUGGUCUGUUUGGAUGAAAACAUGUUUUACGAAAUGAAAAAUUUGUUUGAAAUUUUACGUUGUUACAGAAUUAGUAUCCUAUGACCUGGCCCAUACCUGGUACCCCUUAUGAUUACUUAGUGUAUACAGAAUAUAUAUAUAUAUNNNNNNNNNNNNNNNNNNNNNNNNNNNNNNNNNNNNNNNNNNNNNNNNNNNNNNNNNNNNNNNNNNNNNNNNNNNNNNNNNNNNNNNNNNNNNNNNNNNNNNNNNNNNNNNNNNNNNNNNNNNNNNNNNNNNNNNNNNNNNNNNNNNNNNNNNNNNNNNNNNNNNNNNNNNNNNNNNNNNNNNNNNNNNNNNNNNNNNNNNNNNNNNNNNNNNNNNNNNNNNNNNNNNNNNNNNNNNNNNNNNNNNNNNNNNNNNNNNNNNNNNNNNNNNNNNNNNNNNNNNNNNNNNNNNNNNNNNNNNNNNNNNNNNNNNNNNNNNNNNNNNNNNNNNNNNNNNNNNNNNNNNNNNNNNNNNNNNNNNNNNNNNNNNNNNNNNNNNNNNNNNNNNNNNNNNNNNNNNNNNNNNNNNNNNNNNNNNNNNNNNNNNNNNNNNNNNNNNNNNNNNNNNNNNNNNNNNNNNNNNNNNNNNNNNNNNNNNNNNNNNNNNNNNNNNNNNNNNNNNNNNNNNNNNNNNNNNNNNNNNNNNNNNNNNNNNNNNNNNNNNNNNNNNNNNNNNNNNNNNNNNNNNNNNNNNNNNNNNNNNNNNNNNNNNNNNNNNNNNNNNNNNNNNNNNNNNNNNNNNNNNNNNNNNNNNNNNNNNNNNNNNNNNNNNNNNNNNNNNNNNNNNNNNNNNNNNNNNNNNNNNNNNNNNGUGGCAGCAUCGGAAGGGGUCCGAGCUGACGUGGGAGUCCGAGUCGGAGAUGCGGGAGCAGCAUCCGGAAUUGUUUUCGGUAUAAGACUUCUGGGACGAAGUCUGGUUCUAGUGGGGGAGAAUUGUAACAGCCCAAAAUUCAGGUUCGACCAUUUAGCCCUUCAUCUUUUCAUAAAAUGUCAUCUUGGCCCUUUUGUGUUGGGCGAGUACGCUGGGCGUACAAAGAGUACGUUGCGCGUACUCGCGCGCUUAAUUUGAACGCGUUGUCACCCGGGUACGCUGGGCGUACCUAAGGUUACGCCGUAUCCAGACCCAGAACCAUAAUAUGUCUUUAUGGCUACAAAAGGAAUGAGAUGGCCUUGUCCCUCAGCCACCAUCCUCUAGAAAGAAACCCUAAGAGAGCUUUUCCUUCGUUUUUAGCUUGAGUGAGAGUGUUCUAAGCCUCAAGGUGUCAUUUCAAGGUAACAAAAGAGAAGAGGAGUCCAUUGUGGAGGCUAGAAGUUGGUGGACAAGUGUAGAUCCGAGGAUAACAAAGGUUGGAGCUUCUUCCUGAGGUAAAAAGUUCGGAUCUUGCCUUGUAGUUCUUAUGGUGUGCUUUUUGGACCAAUUUCUAGGGUUUUGGUCCCAAAGAUGGAGACUUUAUGAGCAAGUAGUCUCCAUUGGCCUAGAUCUAUCAUAUUCCAAGACUAUUUGAGUUGUAUGUUCAUAAAAAUGUAAUCUUGGGCAUAAAUGUUGUGCCAUUCAUGAGAUCUAAAUCUUUGGAGGAGAAAAGAAAGUUGUUAGAGGGUGUAGGAGCCUUAACAGCCAUGCCAAGGCUUAAAGGUUCUGACUUUUUGGGAUAAGAGGCUUAAAGCGAGCCAGAUCUGGAAGUUGAAGGAGUGUCUUAACCGUUUAAGACCAAAACUCAUGGUAUGGCUGAAACUGGGACAUACGUUGGGCGUAACUCUCAGUACGCGCAGCGUAAGGGGUUGAGACCCCCAAUUGUAGCUCAUCGACAUACGCCCCGCGUACUGUUGUCUGUUGACUUUUGUUGACUUUUACGGUUUUGGACAACAUGUGGACUUUGAGUCAAGGAGGGGUGAAAUGGUCUUUUACCCCUCUGUGGGAUAAUGAAAAGGGUGUAGCCUAGCCUUGGAAGCCUAUAUUAAUUAGAAUGAUAUUUCAUUGUGAUUAGGCAGGGUUGGGUCGUCGUUUCGAGAUUUGGAGAUAUCAAGCAUGUGAGAUUCUAGAGUUCCUACGAGGUGAGUCUUCUCACUAUACUGUACCCGGAAGGGUAUUUUUGUGUGACCGGAAAAUCGGAUAUGUUAUGAGUUGUAUGCGUUGUAUAUGAUUAAGUUAACCAUUUGUAUGUGCUAUGUAUGCCAUGCUUGAUAUGGGCCGGAAGGCAUUAUGUUAUGGGCCGGAAGGCAUUUUAUGUUAUGGGCCAGAAGGCAUUGUGAUGUGGUCUGGAAGGUCGAUGCGGGUAGGACCGGAAGGUUUACCGGGUCGGGACAGAAGUCCCCUGAGACACAUGGACCGGAAGGUCAUGGCCUGGAAAGGCGUAUGUGUGUAAGUAGUAUUUUGGGGAAUUCACUAAGCAUUUAUGCUUACAUUUGUUGUGUUAUGUGUUUCAGGUACUAGCGAGGACCAUGGGAAGGCGUCGGCGUGAUCUGUACACACUGAUGGAAGAUUUAUGUUGUGAUCUUGGGAUUUGACAUAUUUAUAUUAUGAUUAUGAUACAUUGGAUUUUAUGGUCUGUUUGGAUGAAAACAUGUUUUACGAAAUGAAAAAUUUGUUUGAAAUUUUACGUUGUUACAUUUUCAUUCCUUUGCACAAGCAAAAUACUCAAUAAUUCAAGGCGACAUGAAAACUAGGGUUUCUAGAGGCCUAGAAGGUGAGAGAGGCUUAGGAUGGAUAACCCUAGCCUCUCAUUCCCUUAAAUACCCAAAAAUUAUGGUUUGGGGUGAUUAAGGCACGCUCACGUCGUGAGAAAGCAAAAUGCAGGUCAACGGUUCAAUGGUCACUCACGACGUGACCCCGAAGAUCUCACGUCGUGAGNGAAUGUCUAGACUCGACUGUUUUGUUUGUCGUUUGUAAAAUGUAACUUUUCCCUAGUUUAUAACUAUCGUAACUCGAAAAUAAUUUGUAUUAACUUUAAAGUGUAACUGUCAGGAUAUGAAAGUAAGUGGAAUAUGUAAGUACAAAGUUGUCUUUUAAAAUGACAUCCUGAUGUACUUAUUUCCUUAAAACAUGUUUGUUUAAUUAAGGUCAUGAUGUGAAGCCUAGUACACAUACUAUACGCUCUCCCUGUCAAAAGAUUUGGGAACCAAACGCAACAUUAGCAAAUAAUUGCUAGGCCGUGUAAAUUCACAUUAAGGUUAUGCAAUCAUGUAUAACCAAUUUAACUAUCACCUUUUGUUUAGAGCAAUGAGUUAGUGAUUCAUUGGUAUAGUUAGAUCCUAUAGUUGUUUUCAUGCUAUAGCAUCUUAGUAUGUUCGUUCUGUUAUAGUAUCUCAGUGUGUUCCUUCUGUUAUAGUAUGUAGGUAUGAACUGAACCCCUAAACUAUAUCCCUUAUAGUUUACUAGUAUUUUACUUGAACUGUUAUUGAAAAGACUCAUUUAUCUACUAAGAUAUGAUGGUACUUUAAAAGCGGAGUUUUGUUAAACUAUAAAAUAACAUAACUUUAAAAAAGUUUUUGAAAUGUUUUGAUCACUUAUAAAAGACAUAAGAAAUCUUUUGAAAGAUGUUGAUAACAAGCAUUUACACAACUAUCAUAUCAUUGUGUUCAACUUGUAUCCCCCCCCCCCCCAAAAAGCAUUUAAAACAGUUAAAAGAUUCAUUAUAGGGGUAUGAACUCACCUUAUGUGGGUCAGUCAAACGAAUAUGCGCGUAAGGAUGAGAAGCUCCACAAAUGAAGUCCCAAAACACAAACGAGUCCUAAAUGACAUAUAGGGCAAGUAUUUGCAUGAAUAUAGUGUUUAUAAGCAACCAACAUGCAAGGAAACACCCUUAGGGACUUGUACUAAGUGUUGAAAUCACAUGUGAUUGAUCAAAGGGAUAUUUAAGGCCACCAAAUGGAGUUUACGACAAUGAAUUUUACGGCCAUAAACUCAUGGUAAAAGGUGCAUAAGAGGGUGUUUGAAUGCUAGGGAAACUUGUGGGACCAUUGCUCUACAAUACGAUGAGCAGCACUAAAUUAUUGGGACGUGUUGAGGUGUUUACGGCCACACCAAAAGUGUAUUGCUGUAAAAUAUACAAAUGGUGUCAUUUUGGGUCCUAAAGGAAAGGGUUCUCAAUGGUUCAUGUUUUCCAAAGGAUACCUAGUGUCUAUAAGAGUUUAAGGCUCAAUACUUGAGCAAAACUAAGGUUUACGGCCAAGGGAGAUUGCUCCUAGCUGUAAACACUCAUUGAUCUUGGAGAUUGGUUGAUUUCAAGGAUGUAAAUCAUGGACUUCUACUAGAUAAUAAGUGUAUGGAAGGAAUACUCACUUUUUGAGGGCCUUUGAGUUGUUUACGACCACCAAGAACAAGGGUGUGUUCUUGGUGUUCUUGGUGAAAGAUGAAGAUCUAGCCAAAAGUUGUUUUCAUGGAUGGAAUCAAAGGGUGAUUCAUGAGUAAGAAGGGUAAUAAACAAAUAGAGGGAUGAAUCACUUACAUUUGGAAGAUCGGGAAUAAAAAUCUCGAUGAUACUGGAGUGAGAAGUCAAGUGUUCUUGAGUUGGAAUGUAAGAAUGAAAGGAAAAUGAAGGGAAUGAGGCUUUAAGGGGGAGUUUACGGCCAGCCUUGAGUUUACGGCCGUAAAGUCAAGUGUCUUGGCCAUGAACUCCUUUUUUGUGGUUUUAAGGCUCGGAUGUUGCACAAUGUCUCUAGCAGGUACUUCCAACAACUCGUUACUUAAGUGUACCAGGAUUAAAACCCAAUAAAAUGACCCUUAACAAGGCUAGAAGAUAAUAAAAUUUUGGGUUGUCACAUCAUCCCCCCGUUAGAUGGAAUUUCGUCCCGAAAUUAGCUUUCUUCGCAGCACUACAAGGGUUGCGCUCCUCUGAUUGGCACAAUACUCACUCGUAGACCUGACACCUCUACCCAAUUGUCCAUCAUACGAUUUAUACUUGGUUCAUCUAUCAAUAACACGUGUAUACAAGUUGUAUAUAGUUAGGAUUAGUAAGACGUCGGAUGUGCAAUUCUGCCCUAGGUCCACAACCAAACAAGGAACAGGAGGUAGGGAGGAAGCACACAUACAAAAUCUAUGUAAUCAUAAUCAUAUACCACCCUCGUUUAUACACUGAAUAGUGAUAGGUGAGUUGUAUUUGUCCUUAUCCUCUGUGCUCGAACUUGGUCUGUUGGACGAGUAGUAUUUUGUGUCAGUUUGCUAAAUAUACGGCGAUAAGGUUUCGGAGGGCAAAGUACUCUUCGCAUGAGUACUUCGUGGUUUAGAAUACGAAAGAAAAAACUGAGGUUUAGGUCGGACCUUCGAUACGAAUGACAAAGGUUUUGCGAAUUUGACGGUCAAAGCGAUAGAAAUAUAUGAACUUAGUAUGGUCAGGAACGUGCCAACUCACGAUGAAUGAUAGAAACCUACUCUUUACUGAACAAAAGUUUGGCCGAUUUGAAAGAAACGUUUGUAUAUGUUCUUGUGCUUUCUAUUUCCCCCUUGAUGUUAACACUUCUACGUAUCAUGCCACGAUGAGCGAGUACAUACAAUGAAAGUGCUUUCAUAACUAGUGUCGAUACUUUAUAGUACGAUCCUCCUUGGUACCACUAUGAUCGCUUGUCAUAUACAAGUUAUGAAUAAUUAUGAUGGAUAAGAACGUCCACUGAGUAAAUCUGCCUCAAAUCCACAACAAAACAAGGAACAUGAAUUAAGUUGGAAUCACUCACUCUAGAUCUAUGUCUGCAAAAUCUUAGCUAUGCACAACUCUGAUGUACUUACUAAGCCAUCAUAGCUUCUUUGAACGGAUCUUUCCGUUCUCUUGAAUAUUUUGACUUAUUCCGAUAACUGAGUUAUUAUAAUUACUUUUAAGUGUUUUCCCCCAAGUUUUAAUCUUAUAUAAAUAUAAAUUAAUUUUUAAAGUAAUUACUAUUUCGAAAACGUACCUACUUCAAUAGCGGAGUUCCUCAUUGCUCCCUUAUGUCUUGCAGUUAGAUUCCUCCAUUUCCUACGUUACCUCCCUCUGUUAGGUUGUCUCUCAUGGCAUGCCCCGUUUCACCACAUGCAUGGCGUACCUGUACUAUCCUGACAUUGGUGGUUGAAGUGAUGUACUGAGUUGGAGCUUCACAGAAACGGGCUCCUUCAUCUUUCCUCUUUGUUGGACAAUCCCUCUUAAAGUGUCUAGAUUUUCUGUACUUGUAACAAGCCUCGUUUUCUUGGGGAGUUGGUCGUGCCAGCUUCAGGCAGAAAUUGGAAAGGUGCCCUUUCACGUUGCAAUUGGUACACUUCAUCACUUGGCAAGCUCCGUGGUGGUGGUAACUGCAUUUUUCGCAUCUUGGGAGACUCCCAACAUAUUGUUUAACAGAGGUUGUAGUGGCAGAUGAAGUUCCAGAUGUUAUGACUGUUGUUGUGACCACAGGGUUUGUAUACCACCCGUUCGUUAAGUUUACCAGGAUUAAAACCCAAUAGAAUGACCCUUAACAAGGCUAGAAGGCAAUAAAUUUUUGGGUUGUCACAUCAUGCGCCCGUUAGAUGGAAUUUCGUCCCGAAGUUUGCUUUCUUCGCAGCACUACAGGGGUUGUGCUCCUCUGAUUGGCAGAAUACUCACUCGUAGACCUGACAACUCUACCAAAUUUUCCAUGAUAGGACUUAUAUUUGGUUCAUCUAUCAUUACCUCGUGUAUACAUGUCGGAUAUAGUUAGGAUUAUUAAGACGUCGGAUGUGUGAUUAUGCCCUAGGUCCACAACCAAACAAGGAACAGGAGGUAUGGCGGAAGCACACAUACUAAAUAUGCAUAUUCAUAAUCAUAUACCACCGUCGUGUAUACACUAAAUAGUGAUUGGUGGGUUGUAUUUGUCCUUAUCCUCUGUGCUCGAAUUUGAUCUGUUGGACGAGUGGUAUUUUGUGGUAGUCUGCUGAAUAUACGGCGAUAAGGUUUCGGAGGGAAAAGUACUCUUCACAUGAGUACUUUGAGGUUUAUAAUAUGAAAGAAAAAACGGAGGUUUAGGUCGGACCGUCGAUACGAAUGACAAAGGUUUCGCGAAUAUUACGGUCCAAGUGACAGAAAUAUAUGAACUUAGUAUGGUGAGGACCGUGCCAACUCAUGACGAAUGAUAGAAACCGACUCUUUACUGAACAAAAGUUUGGCCGAUUUGAAAGAAACAUUUGUUAUACGAUGAUGUACUCCUAGUGUGUUCGACAAUGUUCUCUUUGUAAAUGUUCUAGUGCUUUCUGUUUUCCCCUUGAUGUUAACAUUUCUAUGUAUCGUGCCGCGAUGAGCGAGUACAUACAAUGAAAGUGCGUUGAUAACUAGUGUCGAUACUUUAUAGUACUAUCCUCCUUGGUACCACUACGAUCGCUUGUCAUAUACAAGUUAUGAAUAAUUAUGAUGGAUAAGACCGUCGACUGAGUAAAUCUGCCUCAAAUCCACAACAAAACGAGGAACAUGAAUUAAGUCGGAAUCACUCACUCUAAGUCUGCAAAUGUCUUAGCUAUGCACAACUCUGAUGUACAUACUAAGUCAUCGUAGCUUCAAUGAACGGAUCUUUUAGUUCUAUUAAAUAUUGUGACUUAUUCCGAUUAGCGAGUUAUUAUAAUUACUUUUAAGUGUUUUCCCACAAGUUUUAAUCUUAUAUAAAUAUAAAUUAAUUUUUAAAGUAAUUACUAUUUCGAAAACGUACCAACUUCAACAGUGGGGUUCCUCGUUGCUCCCUUAUGGCUUGUCGUUAGAUUCCUCCAUUUCCUAUGUUACCUCCCUCUGUUGGACAGAGUCUCUUGGCAUGCCCCAUUUCACCACAUGCAUGGCAUACCUGUACUAUCCUGACAUCGGUGGUUGAAGUGAUGUGUCGAGUCGGAGCUUCAUAGAAACGGGCUCCUUUGUCUUUCCUCUUUGUUGGGCAAUCCCUCUUAAAGUGUCUAGAUUUUAUGCACUUGUAACAAGCCUGGUUUUCUUGGGAAGUUGGUCGUGCUGGCUUCAGGCAGAAACUAGAAAGGUUCCCUUUCCCGAUGCAAUUGGUACACUUCAUUACUCAGCAAGCUCCGUUGUGACGGUAAGNACCGUCGAUACGAAUGACAAAGGUUUCGCGAAUAUUACGGUCCAAGUGACAGAAAUAUAUGAACUUAGUAUGGUGAGGACCGUGCCAACUCAUGACGAAUGAUAGAAACCGACUCUUUACUGAACAAAAGUUUGGCCGAUUUGAAAGAAACAUUUGUUAUACGAUGAUGUACUCCUAGUGUGUUCGACAAUGUUCUCUUUGUAAAUGUUCUAGUGCUUUCUGUUUUCCCCUUGAUGUUAACAUUUCUAUGUAUCGUGCCGCGAUGAGCGAGUACAUACAAUGAAAGUGCGUUGAUAACUAGUGUCGAUACUUUAUAGUACUAUCCUCCUUGGUACCACUACGAUCGCUUGUCAUAUACAAGUUAUGAAUAAUUAUGAUGGAUAAGACCGUCGACUGAGUAAAUCUGCCUCAAAUCCACAACAAAACGAGGAACAUGAAUUAAGUCGGAAUCACUCACUCUAAGUCUGCAAAUGUCUUAGCUAUGCACAACUCUGAUGUACAUACUAAGUCAUCGUAGCUUCAAUGAACGGAUCUUUUAGUUCUAUUAAAUAUUGUGACUUAUUCCGAUUAGCGAGUUAUUAUAAUUACUUUUAAGUGUUUUCCCACAAGUUUUAAUCUUAUAUAAAUAUAAAUUAAUUUUUAAAGUAAUUACUAUUUCGAAAACGUACCAACUUCAACAGUGGGGUUCCUCGUUGCUCCCUUAUGGCUUGUCGUUAGAUUCCUCCAUUUCCUAUGUUACCUCCCUCUGUUGGACAGAGUCUCUUGGCAUGCCCCAUUUCACCACAUGCAUGGCAUACCUGUACUAUCCUGACAUCGGUGGUUGAAGUGAUGUGUCGAGUCGGAGCUUCAUAGAAACGGGCUCCUUUGUCUUUCCUCUUUGUUGGGCAAUCCCUCUUAAAGUGUCUAGAUUUUAUGCACUUGUAACAAGCCUGGUUUUCUUGGGAAGUUGGUCGUGCUGGCUUCAGGCAGAAACUAGAAAGGUUCCCUUUCCCGAUGCAAUUGGUACACUUCAUUACUCAGCAAGCUCCGUUGUGACGGUAAGUAGGGAUGAGAAUUUGGCCCGAAAAUCCGAACCGAACCGAAAACCAGACCGAAUUGAACCGAAUUAGACUCGAAUAGGCAAUUCAAUUCGGUUUUCGGGUAUCUAUAUAAGGCUUAUUCGGUUUUCGGGUUAUUCGGUCCGGGUUACCCGAAUAAGGGCUUAUUCGAUCCAAAACGACCGAACCGAAUAUGAAAAGUCAUAUUUUUUUUUCCACUUGCACGAUUUCUUAUUCGGUCUUGUGUUAUAUCGAUCUUUACCCAAAAUACCCGCGUAAUGUUUAAUGUUUAACUUAUAUACUUAUAGAUAGAUCUUUGGAUGUUUUAGAUGUUUAAUGUUUAGUGUUUAAUAUGUUGCUUAAUAACUAUAUCUUAAGAAUGUGGUGGUUGGAUUUUACAUUUUAUAUAUCAAGAAUAGUUAAUCCAUGUUAUUUGUGUUUAUCAUAAGCUACAAAAGUCAUACAAAAUACAAUAUUUAUAAUCACAUUGUAAAUGUUAUUUGGGUUAUUCGGGCUAUUCGGCUCCUUAAUCAUCUUGUAGAUGUUAUUUGGGUUAUUCGGUCAAGAACCGAACCGAAUCGAAUAAUACCCGAACCGAACCCGUAUUGCUUAUUUUGUUUGGUUUCGGUUCAUAUAAUUACCCUUAUUCGGUUUUCGGUUUAUUCGGGUUCGGGUCGGGUCGGUUCGGUUCCAACCCGAAUAACAUCCCUAGUGGUAAGUGCAUUUGUCGCAUCUUGGGAGACUCCCAACAUAUUAUUUAAUAGAGGUUGUAGUGGCAGAUGAAGUGCCAGAUGUUAUGACUGUUGUUGUGACUACAGGGGCAGUCACGGGUUAUCGCCCCUAGGUAAAACCUUGAGUCGACUUAUUCUUUUGUUUGUCCCAAUAUUUUCUCUUCUUGUUCUUAGGCUCAUGGUCUGGGGUGUCCUUGACAGCAGCCACUCGCGGGUUCCCUUGAUUAAUAUUGUGAUUAGAUAACUGGCAAUGCUUCCACUUCCGCUAGCGUUAUUUGUAUUGAAUUGUGCCAAAACGGUUGCCAUAGCAGUUGUGACCGCAACCUGAAAAGUAGCAGAGUCUAUUUGCAGAAUUGAUGCUUCGCCUGGUGGUCGGUUCCCUCUUUGUGAAGACAUGAAUCUGUCGCUUAGUGAAGAAUGAUCUCAUGAGUCUAAACCAGUAGAUUUAAGCCAAAAGCUGAAAGACAAGGUUAUCCUAGUUCUGAGUGUAUCGGGUCCAGGCUUUCACAGGUUUCCUGAAACAAUUCAUAAAAGAGUCUAUACUAAAUAAACUUUAUGAAUUUGGAAUGUUUAUCCUCGAAUGAAUAUCUGUUACCUGAAGAAUUGUUACCAGUUGCAUGUAAAGAAAAUAAUCCUAACACAUAGGGUGAGCAGUGUUUCCACUAACUCAAUAAAUUAACCAUGAUUAUUAUAUGUUAGUGUGACGUAUUAAGGCGUUUUGGUUACUUCGGUUGAUCCUUCUUUGAAAGCUUCUCAUGAACUUCCUCUUGUUCCUCCUUGACUCAUCUGUUGGCUACUAUGAGGAAGUGGUUGCAUCUAUCUGGUUUUGUCGUGCGAGAAUGGAAGUGACUAGAGAAUCUAUGAGAUUUAAGUGAAAUGUUAUGGGGUGAUCCUUACAAAGUCCUCCUAUAAUUGUACAACGUAUACAAGUUGUAUAUAAUUCAAGAUUAAAUAGACCUUCGAAUAAAAGAUCCUACUCUAAAACCACAACCAAAGAAGGAACAGGCAGUGAAGCGUAGAUCACAAAUUCAAAUCUAUAAAAUCUCAAUUAUAUAUAACCUUAGGAGUAUACAUUGCUAGAUUAUAGACCUAUCCGUAAGGGUCUUUCUAGUUAUCACAUAAUUUAUUUAUAUAGUGCCUAAAACACUCCUACAAUAUUUUAAUGUAACGUACUUGGUAUCUUUUAAACUUGUUAUCGCGUUAUAGUAUCAUAGAAUACUCCUAUGGUAUUCUAACUCUAUAUACUUGAUCUAGAAUUCUCUUGACUGGUGUUAGGUAAGUUUUAAGACCGUUGCAACACCACAUCACUCCCAAACACAUGUCUGUCACAUCUCGAAUGAAUAUAGUUGACCAUACUAUAUUGAUCCUAGCUAUGAUUACAAAACUGUCAAGGUUUGACCACAGUGUUCAACCAUUAACUUCUUUUGUUUUGUUCUUCUUGGGAUACUUGUUCUAGUACGUAUACAUGUAUAAGCAAGUAGGUAUAUUUUUAUAACUUAUUGUUAUAUUCUUAAAAUAUAUUAUUAUCCAGAGCACUGUAUUUAUAGUUGUAUAUCUUUUAUCGGUUGAUACACUUAGUUCACUAUAAACAAUGCUCUAAUACCAAUCUGUCACACCCCAAAACCAGAACGGCGGAAACAAUCUGGGGUGGAGAACGUCAUGUUUAGUAUCACAUCAAAUGCAUCAUAGUAAUCAAAGUAAUAAACAACCAUUUCAUUAGAAAGAAAGUGUUUACAAAGUAUGUGUUCAGAAAACAUAGAAUACAUAUGUAAAUAACAAAAUAAGACAUGAAGCUAUACUGCUCCAUCUUUUGAAUUUCCAGCGCAAGUACCUGUCUAAUAGAUUCCAGAGAUUACAAGUUAUUUUGAAAGAGUUGAUCAGCAUUUAAGCUGGUGAGUUCAUAAGAUUUUUGUGAUGUAAGUAAGUUGUAAGAAAGAUGUAGUAAGUUGUAAGUUCUGUUUUGACAAGUUCGCCUAUUCCUCUAGAAAAUCCUAUAUUUCAUGCUUUGAUGAAGGAUAAAUAAAAAUGACUCGAAAAUCCUUUUAUGAGUACUAAGUGGAUAUGAGUUAUAUAAAAACCCAAAGUAAACAAACAAUUAUGUGUAUCUGCCCCAAGCCCACAACCAAACAAGGACCAGGAAAUGAGACGGAAAGCACACAUCCCAUUUUUUGUUAGAUCAUUGUUUUAUAUAUAACCAUGGUGUAUUUACUUGGUACUCAUAGAGUUAACUAUAAUAGUUCAUUGAUAUUUGAUGAAAAGAUUCUCUAAGAAAGCCCUUGUUUCUUAUAAAAAAAAAUAAUAACCAUAUUGGUUCCUUCUAUAAUCAUUUAGUUUAUACUAGCUAUAUAUAAUCUAAUAUCGAACAUAUAGUUAAUUGUGUGGAUCUGCCCUAAGCCCACAACCAAACAAGGAACAGGAAAGGAAGCGGAAAGCACACAUCCAACUACAUAUUGGGUAUUAAUUAUAUAUAACCCUGAUGUAUAAAGUAAGGUAUUAUAGAAUUAACCACCUAAGGUCCUUUAAGUUAUUCUGGUUUAAUAAAAUGGAUUAAACCCAUUGCUGGUAAGUUUCUAGUGUUGUAUAUCAAAAUUUCUAUUUGAAAAGUAUGUUUCGGAGUAGAAAACUCUGCAUUGAAUUAGUAUCCUAUGACCUGGCCCAUACCUGGUACCCCUUAUGUUUACUUAGUGUAUACAGAAUAUAUAUAUAUAGCUAAGAUCGAAUAGAUAGUAGACUGGGUGAAUCUGCUCUAAGCCCACAACCAAACAAGGAACAGGAAAUGAAGCGGAAAGCACACAUCCCACUACCUGUCGGAUCCAAUUAAUAUAUAUAUCUCUGAAUGCAUACACUAAGGAAUCAUAUAGUUAGCAUUAUAGCCCCCCCCCCCUUUCUACUGAAUGUACUAGACUCAACUGUUCUUUUUUUCGUUUGUAAAAUGUAAGUUUUCCCUAGUUUAUAACUAUCUUAACUCGAAAAUAGUUUGUAUUAACUUUAAAGUAUAACUGUCACGAUAUGAAAGUAAUGGGGAAAUGUAAGUACAAAAUUGUCUUUUAAAAUGACAUCUUGACGUACAGAUUUCCUUAAAACAUGUUUGUUUAAUUAAGGUCAUAAUGUGAAACCUAGUACACAUACUCUACGCUCUCCCUGUCAAAAGAUUUGGGAACCAAACGAGGCUUUAGCAAAUAAUUGCUAGGCCGUGUAAAUUCACAUUAAGGUUAUGCGAUCAUGUAUAACAAAUUUAACUAUCAACUUUUAUUUAGAACAAUGAUUUAGUGAUUCAUUGGUAUAGUUAGAUCUUGUAGUUGUUUUCAUGCUAUAGCAUCUUAGUAUGUUCGUUCUGUUAUAGUAUCUCAAUAUGUUCCUUCUGUUAUAGUAUCUAGGUAUGAACUGAACCCGGAAACUAUACCCCUUAUAGUUUACUAGUAUUUUACUUGAAUUCUUAUUAAAAAGACUCAUUUAUCUACUAAUUUAUGCUAGUACUUUAAAAGCGGAGUUUCGUUAAACUAUAAAGUAACAUAACUUUAAAAGAGUUUUUAAAAUGUUUUGAUCACUUAUAAAAGACAUAAGCAAUCUUUUGAAAGAUGUUGAUAACAAACAUUUACACAACUAUCAUUGUGUUCAACUUGUAUCCCCCCCCCCCUUUAAAAGCAUUUAAAACAGUUAAAAGAUUCAUUAUACGGGUAUGAGCUCACCUUAUGUGGGUGAGUCAAACGAAUAUGCGCGUAAGGAUGAGAAGUUCCACAAAUGAAGUCCCGAAACACAAACGAGUCCUAAAUGACAUAUAGGGCAAGUAUUUGCAUGAAUAUAGUGUUUAUAAGCAACCAACAUGCAAGGAAACACCCUUAGGGACUUAUACUAACUGUUGAAAUCACAUGCAAUUGAUCAAAG
rnacentral:lncRNA from 1 species